UAGGUGUUAGUCUAAUAAAAGAUAACUAAUUUCGACUUAGUAGAACCGAAAAAUUUCGGGCACCUAU
rnacentral:tRNA from 1 species